rnacentral:rRNA from 1 species
UGGGGAAUAUUGGACAAUGGGCGCAAGCCUGAUCCAGCCAUGCCGCGUGCGUGAAGAAGGCCUUAGGGUUGUAAAGCGCUUUCACUGGUGAAGAUGAUGACGGUAGCCAGAGAAGAAGCCCCCGGCUAACUCCGUGCCAGCAGCCGCGGUAAUACGGAGGGGGCAAGCGUUGUUCGGAAUUACUGGGCGUAAAGGGCGCGUAGGCGGAACAUUAAGUUAGGGGGUGAAAGGCCUGGGCUCAACCUGGGAACGGCCUCUAAGACUGAUGAUCUAGAGUUCGGAAGAGGAUGGCGGAAUUCCCAGUGUAGAGGUGAAAUUCGUAGAUAUUGGGAAGAACACCGGUGGCGAAGGCGGCCAUCUGGUCCGACACUGACGCUGAGGCGCGAAAGCGUGGGGAGCAAACAGGAUUAGAUACCCUGGUAGUCCACGCCGUAACGAUGUGUGCUAGCCGUUGGGGCACUUGGUGUCGUCGGUGGCGCA